rnacentral:rRNA from 1 species
UGCACCAGAAGUAGAUAGCUUAACCUUCGGGAGGGCGUUUACCACGGUGUGGUUCAUGACUGGGGUGAAGUCGUAACAAGGUAGCCCUAGGGGAACCUGGGGCUGGAUCACCUCCUUACCUAAAGA